rnacentral:siRNA from 1 species
GAGUCCACAUUUGGCUAAGCAAU